GUUUGGCACCUCGAUGUCGGCUCAUCACAUCCUGGGGCUGAAGUAGGUCCCAAGGGUAUGGCUGUUCGCCAUUUAAAGUGGUACGCGAGCUGGGUUUAGAACGUCGUGAGACAGUUCGGUCCCUAUCUGCCGUGGGCGCUGGAGAAUUGAGGGGGGCUGCUCCUAGUACGAGAGGACCGGAGUGGACGCAUCACUGGUGUUCGGGUUGUCAUGCCAAUGGCACUGCCCGGUAGCUAAAUGCGGAAGAGAUAAGUGCUGAAAGCAUCUAAGCACGAAACUUGCCCCGAGAUGAGUUCUCCCUGAGACUAUAAGUCUCCUGAAGGAACGUUAAAGACGAUGACGUUGAUAGGCCGGGUGUGUAAGCGCAGCGAUGCGUUGAGCUAACCGGUACUAAUGAACCGUGAGGCUUAACCUUACAACGCCGAAG
rnacentral:rRNA from 1 species